CUCUCUCUCCAUCUCACUCCUCUUUCAAGCAUGCAUGUUGCUUCCCCCCAGCCCCACCUUUUUUCCUGAGGCAAGGUCUUACUCUCUAGAUCUUCUUGCCUCAGUUAACAGCAUGCUGGGAUUAUAGGCAUGUGCCACCUUGCCCAGCUAGGAUUCCCACUCUUGAAGGCUGCAUCGACUUUUUGGCUUGAUCCCUGUAUUGAAAGGUGGGAACUGAUGUGGGUUUGCUUUUGUUUCCUAGGUUUGAUGUUUCCAGAGUGCUGACUGGCACUGGCACCAGGGGAACUAACUCUCUAGUCUGCAGUAAAGCCGGUGAUCCAUGAUCCUCCCAGACAGGAAGGCUGAAGAAGACAUGAUUGGCUACAGAUCAGUAAAACUGUGGGGGAAUCCAUUGGAUAAGGAAUACUACUGUGUUUGCCCUGUUGCACAGAUCCUUGUCACACAAGAAAUGCAUGGAGAAGAUGAAGAAAGGAAGAGAACAACAUCCAGGUUGCAGUCUGAUCUCCUCAGUGUACACACACCAGCGUGGCAUGGUGUGUGGAGUUGCUCCUGGCCCCUGAGAAACUCCUGGGUAUUAUCAUCAUGCAGCUAUGAAAUCCGUGAAAGAUGUUUACUUCUGUGUAUUUCUGCUUAUCUUGUUGAUAAAUGUGAGGAAUGUGCAAAUA